rnacentral:rRNA from 1 species
UACGGAGGGUGCAAGCGUUGCUCGGAAUUAUUGGGCGUAAAGGGUAGGUAGGUGGUCUCAUUUGUCUGGGGUGAAAGCCUUGAGCUUAACUCAAGAAGUGCCCCAGAAACGGUGAGACUAGAGUCCUGGAGAGGGUCGGUGGAAUUCCCGGUGGUAGCGGUGAAAUGCGUAGAGAUCAGGAGGAACACCAGUGGCGAAGGCGGUGCUCUGGGCCGGAACUGACGCUGAGGAGCGAAAGCGUGGGGAGCAAACAGG